CCUGAUGCAGCGACGCCGCGUGAGGGAUGACGGCCUUCGGGUUGUAAACCUCUUUCAGUAGGGAAGAAGCGAAAGUGACGGUACCUGCAGAAGAAGCGCCGGCUAACUACGUGCCAGCAGCCGCGGUAAUACGUAGGGCGCAAGCGUUAUCCGGAUUUAUUGGGCGUAAAGAGCUCGUAGGCGGUUUGUCGCGUCUGCCGUGAAAGUCCGAGGCUCAACCUCGGAUCUGCGGUGGGUACGGGCAGACUAGAGUGAUGUAGGGGAGACUGGAAUUCCUGGUGUAGCGGUGAAAUGCGCAGAUAUCAGGAGGAACACCGAUGGCGAAGGCAGGUCUCUGGGCAUUUACUGACGCUGAGGAGCGAAAGCAUGGGGAGCGAACAGGAUUAGAUACCCUGGUAGUCCAUGCCGUAAACGUUGGGCACUAGGUGUGGGGGACAUUCCACGUUUUCCGCGCCGUAGCUAACGCAUUAAGUGCCCCGCCUGGGGAGUACGGCCGCAAGGCUAAAACUCAAAGGAAUUGACGGGGGCCCGCACAAGCGGCGGAGCAUGCGGAUUAAUUCGAUGCAACGCGAAGAACCUUACCAAGGCUUGACAUGUGCCAGACCGCUUCAGAGAUGGAGUUUCUCUUCGGGGCUGGUUCACAGGUGGUGCAUGGUUGUCGUCAGCUCGUGUCGUGAGAUGUUGGGUUAAGUCCCGCAACGAGCGCAACCCUCGUUCCAUGUUGCCAGCACGUAGUGGUGGGGACUCAUGGGAGACUGCCGGGGUCAACUCGGAGAAUGUGGGGAUGACGUCAAAUCAUCAUGCCCCUUAUGUCUUGGGCUUCACGCAUGCUACAAUGGCCGGUACAAUGGGUUGCGAUACUGUGAGGUGGAGCUAAUCCCUAAAAGCCGGUCUCAGUUCGGAUUGGGGUCUGCAACU
rnacentral:rRNA from 1 species